ACGCUGGCGGCGUGCCUAAUACAUGCAAGUAGAACGCUGAAGGAGGAGCUUGCUUCUCUGGAUGAGUUGCGAACGGGUGAGUAACGCGUAGGUAACCUGCCUGGUAGCGGGGGAUAACUAUUGGAAACGAUAGCUAAUACCGCAUAAUAGUAGAUGUUGCAUGACAUUUGCUUAAAAGAUGCAAUUGCAUCACUACCAGAUGGACCUGCGUUGUAUUAGCUAGUUGGUGGGGUAACGGCUCACCAAGGCGACGAUACAUAGCCGACCUGAGAGGGUGAUCGGCCACACUGGGACUGAGACACGGCCCAGACUCCUACGGGAGGCAGCAGUAGGGAAUCUUCGGCAAUGGACGAAAGUCUGACCGAGCAACGCCGCGUGAGUGAAGAAGGUUUUCGGAUCGUAAAGCUCUGUUGUAAGAGAAGAACGAGUGUGAGAGUGGAAAGUUCACACUGUGACGGUAUCUUACCAGAAAGGGACGGCUAACUACGUGCCAGCAGCCGCGGUAAUACGUAGGUCCCGAGCGUUGUCCGGAUUUAUUGGGCGUAAAGCGAGCGCAGGCGGUUAGAUAAGUCUGAAGUUAAAGGCUGUGGCUUAACCAUAGUACGCUUUGGAAACUGUUUAACUUGAGUGCAAGAGGGGAGAGUGGAAUUCCAUGUGUAGCGGUGAAAUGCGUAGAUAUAUGGAGGAACACCGGUGGCGAAAGCGGCUCUCUGGCUUGUAACUGACGCUGAGGCUCGAAAGCGUGGGGAGCAAACGGGAUUAGAUACCCUGGUAGUCCACGCCGUAAACGAUGAGUGCUAGGUGUUAGACCCUUUCCGGGGUUUAGUGCCGCAGCUAACGCAUUAAGCACUCCGCCUGGGGAGUACGACCGCAAGGUUGAAACUCAAAGGAAUUGACGGGGGCCCGCACAAGCGGUGGGAGCAUGUG
rnacentral:rRNA from 1 species